rnacentral:sRNA from 1 species
UGGACAGCCCUGGAGACCAAAGUCCUCUUUUUAUCCAGAGAUCAGAGACAGCAUGGUUAAUGGCCUUGCAAGGUUCCCACCAGUGUGCUUCAGCCCUGUGCUGGAGCGACCUGCCUCUCAAAGAAAGAAGAUAGUUCAGUCUACCUAGUCCAUUCAGUACUUGGUUUUU